rnacentral:rRNA from 1 species
UGGGGAAUUUUGGACAAUGGGCGCAAGCCUGAUCCAGCCAUGCCGCGUGCAGGAUGAAGGCCUUCGGGUUGUAAACUGCUUUUGUACGGAACGAAAAGGUGCCUUCUAAUAAAGGGCGCUCAUGACGGUACCGUAAGAAUAAGCACCGGCUAACUACGCGCCAGCAGCCGCGGUAAUACGUAGGGUGCGAGCGUUAUCCGGAAUCACUGGGCGUAAAGGGCGCGUAGGCGGUCUGUUAAGUCCGAUGUUAAAUCCCGGGGCUCAACCCCGGAUAAGCGUUGGAUACUGGCAGGCUAGACGGUUGGAGAGGCGAGUGGAAUUACCAGUGUAGCGGUGGAAUGCGUAGAUACUGGUAGGAACACCCAUUGCGAAGGCAGCUCGCUGGACAACACGUGACGCUGAGGCGCGAAAGUGUGGGGAGCAAACA